rnacentral:tRNA from 1 species
GAAGUUAUAGUUCAGUGGUGGAGUACAUGCCUAGCAUGCAUGAGGUCCUGGGUUCAAUCUCCAGUACCCCCA